AGAGUGAACGCUGGCGGUAGGCCUAACACAUGCAAGUCGAACGGCAGCACAGUAGGAGCUUGCUCUUACGGGUGGCGAGUGGCGGACGGGUGAGGAAUACAUCGGAAUCUACCUUUUGGUGGGGGAUAACGUAGGGAAACUUACGCUAAUACCGCAUACGCCCUUCGGGGGAAGCCGGGGACCAGCAAUGGCCUGGUGCUGAUAGAUGAGCCGAUGUCGGAUUAGCUAGUUGGUAGAGGUAAGUGGCUCACCGAAGGCGACGAGUCCGUAGCUGGUCUGGAGAGGAUGAUCAGCCACACGUAGGAACUGAACGACC
rnacentral:rRNA from 1 species